rnacentral:misc_RNA from 1 species
AAGUCGUAACAAGGUUUCCGUAGGUGAACCUGCGGAAGGAUCAUUAACACGUACGAAAGUACACACCAACACUGAGCACCUUUUUGGUACAACCUCUCCCUUUCGAUGUGGGCUGUUAGUAUGAAUGCUGCUAUAGGACACUCAUCUAGCAGGCUCGUGUCUUUACACGAACCCACUCUGAAGGUUACCUUUCCUUAGCACAUUUUACCAUUAUCACCUAUAAUUACAUUUGUCUAAUGUAGCGGCACAGAGAAAUCCGUGCAGCUUGAUUAUCUAAACUAAGCACAACUCUUAGCAAUGGAUAUCUAGGUUCUC